ACUAGCAAAAAAACUCCCGAAUUCCAAAACAACCUUUGAUAAAUAUCUCACUAAUAACUGUAAAAAUAGCUUCUUUAUUAAUCCAAUAACUAAAUAUGAAUUAGAAAAUGAGAUAAACAAUUUGAAUGCCAAAAAAAGCCCUGGCUAUGACGGUAUAAGCUCACAGGUAAUCAAAGCGAUUGCUACAGAAAUUUCUGAACCACUUUCACACAUAUUUAACUUGACUUUUCUUUCUGGAACUAUUCCUGAUGAUCUAAAAAUAGCUCUAGUUACCCCUAUAUUCAAAGCAAACGAAAACAAUGAAUUUAAGAAUUAUAGGCCCAUAUCUGUUCUCACUAGUUUUUCUAAAUUGUUAGAAAAGCUUAUGUAUAAGAGAUUAAUUAACCACAUAGAAAAAAAUAACAUAUUAACACAGCAUCAGUAUGGUUUUAGGGAAAAUAGAUCCACUGAGCUUGCAAUCAUAGAACUUGUUGACAGAGUUACUAAAGCAAUCGAUAGAGGAGAAUACACGAUAGGUAUUUUCCUCGACUUGUCAAAAGCCUUUGACACAAUUGAUCACAAGAUAUUGAUUCAAAAACUUGAUCACUAUGGUAUACGGGGAAUAACUCAAUUAUGGUUUCAAGAUUACUUAAAGAAUAGAAAACAAAUUGUUAAAUACAACCAAAUUAAAUCAAAAGAAAUGGUAAUUAAGAGUGGUGUCCCACAGGGAUCUAUUCUUGGACCAAUUCUAUUUCUGCUUUAUAUAAAUGAUAUUGAAAAUUGCAGCAAAUUAAUUUCAUUUAUAUUAUUUGCAGAUGACACUAAUAUAUUUUAUAGUAACAAGUGUCUAAAGACACUUAGUAAUAUUAUACAAACAGAAAUUGAUGAAGUUGCUGAAUGGUUAAAUGUGAAUAAAUUAUCUCUAAAUACUACAAAAACAAAAAUAAUUUUAUUCAGAUCUCCAAAUAAAAAACCAAGUCAAACCAUUAAAAUUAACAUAAAUGGUAAAAAUAUUGAACAAGUUAAAAGUACAACCUUCCUCGGUAUUAUCAUUGACGAAUGUUUGACCUGGAAAGAUCAUAUAGCUAAAGUAGCAAAGAAAAUAAUUAGAGCUGCUGGUAUAAUAGCUAAAAUACGACAUUUCAUAAAUCGAAAUACUCUAAAACUUAUAUAUUAUGCAUUAGUCUAUCCAUAUUUGAUAUACGGCAACUUAACAUGGGGUAAUACUUAUAAAAGUCGAAUCCAAAAAAUAAUGAACAUACAAAAAAAAAUUGUACGUCUAAUGACUUUCAAGUCUUAUUUAGAGCACAGUGAGCCAAUUUUCAAAGAUUUAAAUAUCCUAGACAUUUUCAAAAUCAAUGACUAUUUAACUGCCUUAUUUAUGUUUCGAUACCACCACCUUAGCAAUUUACCAGAUUUCUUUAAAAAUUAUUUUGUAACAAACAACCAAAUUCAUGAACAUAACACGAGAAAUGCAUCAAAACUUCACAAAUGUUAUAAAAGAACAAAUUAUGUAAAACACACUCUCUCAAAUAAAGGAGUUGAUGUAUGGAAUUCGUUAGAAACAAAACUUAAUGAAGUAAACUCCUAUAACACCUUUAAAAAGAGAAUUAAACAACAUUUUUUGCUAUACACAAUUACCAAUAUAUAAAACAUACUUCUCUAAUGUAUAUAAUGACAUAUACUUUAGUCUAUUGUAGCCCAACAUUGUCAUUGUAAAAUUAAAUGCAUCUACAACAUUACUAUUAAUUUAUAUAAUACGAACAUUCCCACUUCUUUUUCUCUCUUGUAAAUAUAGUGUAUAUACUUCAAAACUUUCUGAUUUUAAAUAUUAUGUAUUGAUUGACUGUAAAUAAUCGAUUAUGUGAUAAAACGAACAGUAACUAGAGACCUAAAAUAAAAAGUCUAUGAAGAUUUCUAGUAGGUCUCUAGCCCAACAUCUUCAAAUUAUUGUAAUAUAUUUUAAGUAGAUUUUUAUACAUGGGAAAAUAAAUAAAAAAAAAAAAGAA